AAAUACUGUACUUACAGCGGGCGGCAGGAUAAAGCUGCAUGUGUCGCAUUGUGUCGGACUUGACCUUUCUCCCUCGCACUGCCUUCAGUUGAACAGAGAAGCUUGAGCCCUUUCCUCUAGCACGACCCGGUCGCUGGCGGGGGAGCGCGAGUGCGCGCGGGGAGUGGACGCUGCCCGGAGGGGAGCGCGAGCCACCCGGCCGGACAAUAGGGGCUCGAGCAUCAGCUGGACACUCAGGGACAGCGCGAGCUGCCCACCUGGACAGUAAGAGCAGCGGUCUCGCAAAGGCUUUAACGUUGUUUCAUCUUUUGAUUUCCACCCCAAUCACCAGUGUGCAAACGAGGCUAACACCGGUCUGCUCGAUACUUUGCUGGUUUUACCGAGAUACACAAGCUUGUAAGGAACUGGCUUUCUGUUUCUCUGAGACAUAGCUGCUGGAAACAUUGAUCAUAAUCAUUCUUACAAUGAAGAAAAGUAGAAGCGUCCUGGCAGUGACCACAGAAGAUAAUGGCAAAGAUUCCCCUGAGUAUGGUCUUAGCAAAUCUUACACUUCAUCUGGAACCAUAAUCGGAGUGGAUUUACGAAGGGGAAGAAGACGGUUCUCUGGUAAUCUUCAAUUGCCACCAUUGGCUUGGAGGCAGGGGGAAAGAGCAAGAACUCCAGAAAGAGAUAGCAUGCCA